AUACCAGAGCCCUUUGCCCCGCCCAUCCACUUCCGGAUCCUCCCCCUCGAGUUUAAAGGGCCAGGACUCUGCCCCAGUCCAGCCCAAGGACACCCCCGCCCUCGUCGUCUUGUUCUGCGAGGUACCUUCCCUCCCUGGCCCGCUUUCCCCCAAAAAAGCAACUUCCUGCUUCUCUAGCAAGUCACAUAAGAACUGGAAUCUUGGUACUACAACUUCUGACUGGGCAUCGGCCAGCGGCUUCCACAUAAGGGGAAGCUAGUGCUGCUCUGCAUGUUUGGAGCGUGUAGCCGAGGGUCUCUUUCCGGUCCUGAUACUCAGGUAGAUGACCGAAACUUUCUGCCCGUCCUCUCAGUCCUAACCGAUGGACACGUAAGAACCAAGCACGGGUACAGCAGCAACGGCUAGAACUGACUUCGGUGAGAGACUCGUGGCUCUGGGCCUCAGCAACAAUUGACGCAAGAAGAUGCCAUCCUAGGAUUGGCUACCGCAGAAACUACCGCGCUUAUUUCAAACUAAGUCCCCAGUGCAUACAAUAGAGGCUGACUCAUACUAGGUGUCCAAACUGAAUUUGUUGGAUGAAUGAAUGCAUGAAGCGAUCAUAGUACAAUCAUAAUUAGAACUGGAAGAAAUUUCACUCAGAAUGUAUUUACUUAAAAUAAGAACCAAUAAUUCAUAGUAAAAAGAAGAUCAAAGAGAAUGGGGGAGGAAGCAACAGCAAUAAAAUUUUAAAAGCUGGAAAAGGCAUGGACAAGUAGACUAAAAAAGGAGAGUCCCAAUGGGGAAAGCCAAGAAGCAACCAGCUUGACUAUAGAGAAACCAUGAACGCUCAGGAAUUGGUUGCAGCAGUUACCUCUAGGAAUAGAAGAUGAAGAUAAGGCUGAAAAAAGGGAGUUAUGUUGAAAAAUUUUAAGAAGCAGUUAGACUCUCUAAAGCUACUCCCCCAAAGCAAUAGAAGAUUAAAAGUCUAUUUUCUGGAGAGGAUAAAACAAAAAAGGAUGUUUGAACUGAGUGAAAGUUGAAAGUAGAAGGAUAUUGAGAAAAAAGGGAUUGAAUGAUUAGAUACAAAAUGUUGAGACCUUCUGACAGGCGGCCAGUUGUCUAUCCAUAUGAAUUUUUCCCUUUUUCUAUAAUAGUAACAGAACCCUGAUUUUAAUUUAUGUAUUUAUUUUAGUACAAAGCCACAAGAAUAAAAACUAAAAUCAUCACUGUCCCAUGGAGAUAGUGCUUCCAUGAUGACAUUUUGGUCAAUGGAAAGUGAAUAGAGGCAAUGUGUACAACUUCCACAUAGACACAUUAAUGGAAAGGGGCUUGUCUUUCACAAAAUUUGGUGGUGAGGCAUCUUGGACCAUGUCAAUCAGGGCAGUGCCCCAGGAAUGACAAAGCAGUAAUAGAGGAGAAGCCUAGGUUUCUAGCAUCAUGGAGCCACCAAACCACAUCUGAGCUGCUUCUUCUCAAAAUGUUGUAUAAGACAGAAAUAAACCUCUUAGGUAUAUUAUCACAUAUCAAGCAACAGCUACUAGAAUUGCAAAAUAAAUAGAGAUAAAUCAAUAAUUGCAGUUGAGGGGCACCUGGGUGGCUAAGUCAGUUA